ACGAACGCUGGCGGCAUGCCUAACACAUGCAAGUCGAACGAGACCUUCGGGUCUAGUGGCGCACGGGUGCGUAACGCGUGGGAACCUGCCCUUAGGUUCGGAAUAACUCAGAGAAAUUUGAGCUAAUACCGGAUAAUGUCUUCGGACCAAAGAUUUAUCGCCUUUGGAUGGGCCCGCGUAGGAUUAGCUUGUUGGUGGGGUAAUGGCCUACCAAGGCGACGAUCCUUAGCUGGUCUGAGAGGAUGAUCAGCCACACUGGGACUGAGACACGGCCCAGACUCCUACGGGAGGCAGCAGUGGGGAAUAUUGGACAAUGGGCGAAAGCCUGAUCCAGCAAUGCCGCGUGAGUGAUGAAGGCCUUAGGGUUGUAAAGCUCUUUUACCAGGGAUGAUAAUGACAGUACCUGGAGAAUAAGCUCCGGCUAACUCCGUG
rnacentral:rRNA from 1 species